rnacentral:lncRNA from 1 species
CUCCAAGCAUUUCCUGAGCUUCCUUCCAGGAUGAUGAUAUAAGCAUUUUUGCUAAAUUUAAGUUACUCGCAAGUCACACAAUCCAAUUAGAGAACAAAGCCUAUGCAAAAGAAGCCAUUAGUUUGCAAAGGGAUAAGGCAAAUGAUGAGGCCAUAUAAAAAUUGAGAAGGUCUGUGGAAAGGGGCUAGUGGAUGCCAGGACUCUUGUUUAUGAGGAAGACUCAACCUUAAUUAGUGUAAGGAAAAGAGUUUCUUUAGUUAAACUAUUAGAAGGGUGGGAGUAAAGUUGGCCUCAAGAAUGACUCUGUGUCUUAUCUAGCUUCUCUCUUCUCUCUGCUUCUCAGUUCUAUCCUCUUCUCCUGUAGUUGAUUUUCUCUACAAAGCAGAUUGACUUCCUUCAGUUAGUCUCUGGCAACUAGAAUGGGCUCAUCCACAUAGCACGUGACCAGGAAGGAAAAGGUUCGUCACAGCAGCUCCAGUUCACAAUUCUUAGGGAAGAGAUUGGCCCGUUGGCUAAUCACUGUGAUGAGGAGUGUGCAGAAGUUCCAUAUGCUUCCAGCUUAAUCGAGUAUCAUUCACUGUGGUCAUGGAGAUGGAAUCUUAUUAGAUCGCUUUGGUAACAGCUGAUGGGAGGCAGGAGGUGGGAAAAGAAGGAGUUCCCCAAAAAGGAGAAGAGAGCUGUUCCCAUAAAAAGAGAAGAGUGCAUCUAGGGGAAAUAUGAAUAUCUUCUGCUGGGAUAAAUGCUCUGCCACAUUCCUUGGGAUUCCAGGAUCAAUACAUAGAUUAACUAAAGGAAUGAAAUCCCAGCUAGAAUCAAACCUGCAGGACCAGAGGCAUGAAACCUGAGAGGUGAGGAAACUGAGGCGCAGAGUAUCUAAGGAAUUCACAGAGAAGAACUGAACAGAACAGGCAGAUGUUCAUACAGCACAGCCU